rnacentral:lncRNA from 1 species
CUAAACUAUGUUUAACCCCGCCGCAAUUUUGCGCCUGUCCCAAGUCAGGAGCCUCUGGCCUUUGUUAGUCUUGUAUGAUUUUAAAUUUUAGUUUCUUGUGUAUAAUUCGGAGUUUAGUAUGACGUCCAUUAUCACUGUACUAUUAUGCAUAUUUUAGGGGCCAGCUGAAGGACACCUACGGGUGCGGGAAUUCUCGCUACAUUGAAGACCCAUUGGUUGCCUUCGGCUGUUGUUUGCUCUAUGGUCGGGUGGUUGUCGCUUUGACAUAUUCACCAUUUCCUUUCUCAAUUUUAAUUUUA